GUGCUCGAAUUGGCUGCACAUGUGCUAAAAUUGGAACUAUACAGAAAAGAUUAGCAUGGCCUCUGCACAAGGAUGACACAAAUUCAUGAAGUGUGAAAAACAAAG